AACGCGAAGAACCUUACCUGGGUUUGACAUGCACAGGACGCUGGUAGAGAUAUCAGUUCCCUUGUGGCCUGUGUGCAGGUGGUGCAUGGCUGUCGUCAGCUCGUGUCGUGAGAUGUUGGGUUAAGUCCCGCAACGAGCGCAACCCUUGUCUCAUGUUGCCAGCACGUUAUGGUGGGGACUCGUGAGAGACUGCCGGGGUCAACUCGGAGGAAGGUGGGGAUGACGUCAAGUCAUCAUGCCCCUUAUGUCCAGGGCUUCACACAUGCUACAAUGGCCGGUACAAAGGGCUGCGAUGCCGUGAGGUGGAGCGAAUCCUUUCAAAGCCGGUCUCAGUUCGGAUCGGGGUCUGCAACUCGACCCCGUGAAGUCGGAGUCGCUAGUAAUCGCAGAUCAGCAACGCUGCGGUGAAUACGUUCCCGGGCCUUGUACACACCGCUCGUC
rnacentral:rRNA from 1 species